rnacentral:rRNA from 1 species
GACGUGCGCAGGCGGUUGUGCAAGUCUGAUGUGAAAGACCCCGGGCGUUAACCUGGGAACGGCAUUGGAGACUGCACGACUAGAGUGCGUCAGAGGGGGGUAGAAUUCCACGUGUAGCAGUGAAAUGCGUAGAGAUGUGGAGGAAUACCGAUGGCGAAGGCAGCCCCCUGGGAUGACACUGACGCUCAUGCACGAAAGCGUGGGGAGCAAACAGGAUUAUAUACCCCUGU